UUGGCUUUGGGUCGAUCGAACAAGGGCAGGGGGAAAGGGGAAACCCUUCUCCUUCAACUACAAUCAAGAACUCAAGAAUUGAACCUGAAUUUGGGGAGAAAUCGGAUGCAUGAGCUUAUAUUUUUAAUCAUCUAGUCAAGAUGAACAUGUGCAUUAGGGAUCAUGUGGACGUGGACUCAAGCAUGAAAGACUAACGGGUCAAGAGGGGACAAGGAAGCCAAUGCGAAAAUGGACGCUCAAGGUUGUGCGGGUCACGGAGGAUCAUCCAGGAAUAAAGAUCGAAGACCGAGUCACUUAAGGGAUUGUACGGGGUUGUUUAAGGAUGUAAAUUUGUUGUACAUAAGCUAUGAUUUAUUCUAUAAUUGAGUCAGUUUGUUGUAUUCGAUAUAAAAGAGUUAUUUUAAAAGUGAACUUUCAAGUAAGACGUAAGGUUUAUAAUGAAAGAAAUUUUAUGGCA